rnacentral:rRNA from 1 species
UACGUAGGGUGCGAGCGUUGUCCGGAAUUAUUGGGCGUAAAGAGCGUGUAGGCGGCCAGAUAGGUCUGCUGUGAAAACUCGAGGCUCAACCUCGAGAUGUCGGCGGAAACCAUUUGGCUAGAGUCCGGAAGAGGAAAGUGGAAUUCCUGGUGUAGCGGUGAAAUGCGCAGAUAUCAGGAAGAACACCCGUGGCGAAGGCGGCUUUCUGGGACGGUACUGACGC